rnacentral:rRNA from 1 species
UACGUAGGGUGCAAGCGUUGUCCGGAAUUAUUGGGCGUAAAGGGCUCGUAGGCGGUUUGUCGCGUCGGGAGUGAAAUCAUCUGGCUUAACUGGGUGCUUGCUUUCGAUACGGGCAGACUAGAGGUAUGCAGGGGAGAACGGAAUUCCUGGUGUAGCGGUGAAAUGCGCAGAUAUCAGGAGGAACACCGGUGGCGAAGGCGGUUCUCUGGGCAUGACCUGACGCUGAGGAGCGAAAGUGUGGGGAGCGAACAGG